rnacentral:lncRNA from 1 species
AUUUAUCUGUUUCCUGGUACAUACAGGCAACAGUUCCUCUGGCACUGACACAUGGGGGAGGGUUGUUGGAUCUUAGAGUAUGUGCAUUUUGGCUCUACUAAGCCAGUUUGGUUUAAUCAAUAGUUUAAAAAAUUUAAUUCAUCUACGGUAAAUAUUUAACAUUCUGGAGCAAGAAAGAAGUCAUAUCCUAUUCAGUUGUAAAAUCUGGCUUUCUGGUUGUAUGCUAAGCAUCGUAACAGAAUACUGUGCCCAGUUAGUCUGAAAUGGCUCUACCGAGAUAUCAGUAAGGCCUCCUGGAGGAGCAGAGUGUUAUCCUGACUCAGGCUACUGAAAUAAAGCGAAAUUGUCAGUUCAUAAAAAAGAUAAGAAAAUCAGCAUGGGAAUGGAUAAAUGAGGAAUACAGGAGACCAUCCUGUUCCAAGAAAGGUAAUUUAGCAAGAUAAUGAGGUCUUGUAUCUUUUCUAGUCAUAAUUAGAUAUUUAUGUUAUUUCAGUCCCCUGAAGAUGAUCAGCUCCCUGUGAAUUCUGUAUCCGUGAAUGUAAGCUUACAAACUGGGACCAUCAAAUAAAGAAUCUCUGUCGAGUUUGCCUCACCUGUCCUCACCGUUCCUCCUCUCACCACACCCCCACAUUUCCAUCUGUUUCAGCUCAGUUGUUACCAUUCCAAGAGGGACUGUCUACCCCUGCUCUUAAUGAAGCUCCAUGGGAGUCACAGUGCAGAAGGAAAAAUAGCUCAGAAUUUUCCAGAUAACUGGUAUCCUGAGGAAUAUUUUCUUAGAAAUGUAAAAGGCGAUACAGAGUUCAUACUUGUUUUAUGAGUUUAUACUUUUUUCCAUUGUAGAAUCUCUUGAAGUCAUUCCAAAUGUCCUUCCUCAGCCCUUGUUCCCAGGCCAUACGUCAUGGGUCUCAGUGGGCACUGGGAGCUAUUCCAAGUGGCAGUUUCUCCAUGUGCACAAAUGACACCGUCAAUGGGCUCAAUGAAGGGUGCAGCGCAGCUCGCACACCUGCGGACAGCGGUUGUUCAAGUCUGUGGACAACUUUGUGACAAAUGAAGGAUGAAUGCAUUUUACAUCACAAGUUAAUACUAUGUAGCUUUUUAUCUUUUUUUUUUUUAAAGAUUGGCACCUGACCUAACAACUGUUGCCAAUCUUCUCUCUUUUUUUUUUUCUGCUUUUUUCUCCCCAAAUCCCCCCAGCACAUAGUUGUAUAUUUUUAGUUGUGGGUCCUCCUAGUUGUGGCGCAUGGGAUGCCGCCUCAACGUGGCCUGACGAGUGGUGCCAUGUGCACACCCAGGAUCCGAACCAGCGAAACCUUGGGCCAUGGGAAGUGGAGUGCACGAACUCAACCACUCAGCCAUGGGGCUGGCCCCAGCUUUUUUAACUUCUUAAUCAAUGGAUAUAUAGAUUCCAGCUGUUCUCAUGGAGGUGAGAAGACAUUUUUGAUAUUAAAAGUGUUUUCAGGGCUGGCGCCGUGGCGGAGUGGUUAAGUUUGCGCGCUCCGCUGCAGGCAGCCCAGUGUUUCAUUGGUUUGAAUCCUGGGUGCGGACAUUGCACUGCUCAUCAAACCACGCUGAGGCAGCGUCCCACAUGCCACAACUGGAAGGACCCACAACGAAGAAUAUACAACUAUGUACUGGGGGACUUUGGGGAGAAAAAGGAAAAAAAUAAAAAAAUAAAAUCUUAAAAAAAAAGUGUUUUCAAAAUCUAAAAGUUUGGAAACUACUGCUACACCACAUCCAUCUGCACCUCUAACUUUAUGUGUCCGUAUGUGUGUGUGGAAUGUGUGCGUGCAUCCACACACAUGCAUAUCUCUAGAUGUUUUUAUAACAAUCCACAUCACCAGAAAGAAGGGACGAUACUAAGAAAUAAAUUUUCUGCAGAGAUGUAACUUCCAGCUCUCUCUGAGACAGCAUUUUAAAUUAUUAAACAGAAUACUUAACAUUUAUACUUGAACAUCUUCUUCAUAAACAGAUAAGUUAGAGAACACCAUCUUUCAACGAGAUUCCUCACGCUGCUGAGGAACAUAGGGUCCCUCUCAGUUGCAUCUUUGUAAACACUACUUACAAAUCACUAAAUACUUAAUAAGGAGAGGAACAAAAAGCUGAAUUGAUUAGAUAUGAGUCAGAAAAUAAAGUGAAGCAAAAUUUGAAUAGUAGUACAUAUCUUUUCUUAUUUAUUAUCCAAGUUUUGAAAAAUUAAGGUUCCUUUUCUUCAUUUUUUCCAAUUCACUUUUGUUACUGAAAAGUAAUUAUUAGCAGCCAUGAAUAUACAUGUGGGUACACUGUUUUCUCUUCAUUUGAGCAAAAUUUCAUUGAGUGGAAGAGACUGUCUUUUUUAAAAUAUCAUGAAAAAGACACCCCCUCCUUACUACUCAAUUUUAUAGUUGAAUGCUUCAAAGAAAAUAAAAAUAACAAGAAGGAGUCCUCAUAUGGCUAAGACUCAGAAUAAGGAUUUCUCUUGCUAAUGUCCCUCAGAGAACUGUUAUGGAAAAUCACUAAAUUGGCUUCUGACAGUGUUUUCAUAUGCAAAACAAAAUAUAAAUGACAGUAUUUUCAUUACUGCUAUUAAUGAAAAUAUUGAUGUCUAAAUGUUUAUACUCUGGAAAAAUAUGAAAUGAGAGCCUGACUGAAUGAAACAUGUGUUGUUCACUGAAACAGACUUUUUCUUUAAUCUAUGAAACAAUUAGCAUCUAAUGUCCUACAUGGAGUUGUAUGUUCUCCCCUGGUGACGCUUAAGAGAGAGUUACAGUGAAGCAAAUAUUCCAAAGAAAAUGAUAAACUGAAGAAAAAUUCUUAAUUAGAUGAUCCAUGAAGUCCUCGGUCUUGUUUGUUUUUCUCCUCCAGGGGUCAUUCGAUGAAUAACACACUUGAGAGAGUUGGUAUAAACAGUGUCUUGGCACCAGGGGAAGGUGAGAUUAGAACGGACUCCUGGAAGGGGUCCUGGCAGCCUUGCUGAACCCAGUGGUGCCUGGGUGCGAGUUGAUGCACAGAUUAUGUGCGGGACAGUUUGUCCUUUGUGUCUGCUGUGCUUACAGAUCUGAAAAUACAGACACUGUGGCGUAGAGAUCGAUGAACCACCAUUGGAGAACAUUUACAUCUGUCACUCUUGUAACACAAUCAUUCCUUGCUUUUGCCCUUCAGUAGAAACUUUUCUCUCCCCACAUGGAAACAAAGUGUUGCCACGCGAAGACCCGGCUGAUGAGCGGUGGGGACUGCUGCUCCUGUUUGGAGAAUGAGGGUGGCCUCGCGGACUCUUUCCCUGACAAGCGCUGUCUGCUGAUGCACGGGGCGACGGACAUCUGCAAAGUCAGACUCCUCGUGAAGGCUGGACCUGAAUCCCAGCAGGAGCCACUUCAGAGGACUCCCUCUAUUCUGAAAGACAUGAUUUCCCCCCGAGCAGGCAGUUCACGGACUGUCAGUAACUACUCCUCAUUUUGAGAGGACAAUGGAAGCUCAUCGUCCCCUCCUAACACUCCCACAUGGCUUCCACUCUGCAACCGGGUCCCUUCAGCUGCUGGACACCACCUAGAAGGAACUUGACAGUCUUUCAUCUACUAGAUUAAAUUCGUUUUCUCCUACAAAGGAAGAUAGUGCUUUGUGCUGCAUAUUCAAACUUUGCUUAUACUUUAAAAAUAUAUCAUCGACUUGCUCAUUAUAUAUUUGCUUAGGGAUAAAACAUACCAAAAAUGGAAAAGUUUUGCUUCUAUUUUCUAAAAGAGUAUAAACAAGCAAACAUGGGCCACUAUCAAACCAUUUCUAAUCCUCCUUGGCAUCUGAGGUGCUUAAGUUUCAGUUUUGACUGCUUUACAACAACCAUCCAGAUUCAUGGCAUUGUAAUUUAGAGUUUGUCUAAAUGCACUGUUACACUGGGCCGUCUUCAAGGCUAUCUGUGGAAAUAAAUCAUUCGGUCCCAGUUGAAUGCCCUGGGAUAGACAAUUCUCUAUGGACUCACAUUAUACAGUAGAAUAACGUUCAUGAAGUGGUAAAAUCUUUGUUUCUUGGAAAAAUGAUGCCCCUGAGAAGCUGGGCCUAAAGUUACAGAGAUCCUCCAGAUCGAGAAUGUGAAAGGUCUACAAAGAACCUUACCCCUAUCAGAGGUCUACUAAAUCAAUGAGAAGUUCAUGUUUCCAUGGUAUAAAUUCGGCUCCUUCUAGAAACUCUUAAAAGCACUCCGAGUUACAUGUGAAAAAAAUCAGCUCAAAAAGGAUCAUUCAAACUCAUCAUGAGCAAUUCAAUGGUUCACGUAACCGAAAGGCUGGCUCAGGUGCAGAGGCCGUAGACGUCAGUAAGAGUCUUCCUCUGGGUUGUGGCUCAUGAGGGUUCUUCUUUACUGAAGGCAAGACGCUCGCAGCAUCUGCAGCCUCACAUCCUUCCAACCCCAACCUCGUGGAAAGAGGAUGGCACUGUCCGUCUCGACGCUCCCAGUCAAAACUCUCAUGACGUCUGAUUGGCUCUGGUCGUGUCACUGUGACCCAGUCAGUCACUGUGACCAGGGGAAGACAGGAAUACAAUGGGCUGUUAGACUGGGUCCAGGCCCACGUUCCGUCCAGAGGCCCAUCCAGACCACUCGAGAGACAACAGGGCAGAAUGGACCUUAAACUAACUCUGGAGCCUUUUGCCAAAUGGAGGAUGGCUGUUGGGGACACCAAGUUCACUGCUCCACCCUGCUGGAACCUUCUGCCACCUGCUUGUCAGACACAGCCUCACCUGGCAUUGUUCCCUAUGUGUCAAGGAUGUGGAAAAAUUCAUAAAUGGAGAUAUAAUUUUAUAGAUCUAAUAACUACUCUCUAAUAUACUAUUUAAAUUUUUAAUAAAAUUAUUAACUAUAUUGAACUCAGUAUUAGCUAUUCCUUAAGUGGGUCCUUUAUAUUAACAUGCAUGAAUACUUGAAAUUUUAAUCCAGAAUGCAGAAUUCAAAUUUUAUUUUAGUCAAUUUGGGGCAAAGGAUGACAUUAGAAUAAUUUACUGUUGCAUAGAUGUAAACAAAGUCAUUGAACUGUUUCUUCCCUGCCAGGAGAGCAUUAUAUGAUGCUGCAUUUAAUUUAUUUUAUUAACUCCCCCCAUAGGAAAAUGCACUUGGAGUGUAUCUUAAUACUUGGAGAUACUAUACUAUAAAAUACACUUGGAGUGUAAAGCCACUAUCAUAUUUAAUAUCACAUUAACUAUUAAUUUUACAGCUGGAAAGGACCAUAGAGAUCAUUCAGUCCUGAUAUUUCUUAAUAGUGGUAUUUUCUGGUAAGCUAUUUGUGUUUAUUUUCUCCAUAAGGCAGGACAGCCAGGAAAACUUGUUCACAUUAGCACAGCUUUGUGAAAUAGGCUAGUUUGGGGCUGGUUCUGUAAAGGGCUCCCUGCUCAUUCAACCUGACCCCAGUGCUCCCCAACCCACCGUGUCCUGGCCGGGGCGUCACUCCUGCAGGUGGCCCUGAGUCACUGUCCCUGCGCUGUGUGAGGACACCAUGACGAUAAGAUAAACAUGGCCCCCGACCAACUGCAGGGUCUUCCAGACCAGCGAGGAUGACAGACAAACACAUUGGUCAGCACAGAGUGCAGCUGGGUUUAUAAAGGACAAUUGCAGAGUCUGUUCUGUGGUCUCGGAGCCCCUCUGGCCCAGGCUGGGGGCUCAGGGCAGCCGACUUUGAGUGGAGAACUGAAGGAUGAGUCUGGGCUGCGCCACUUACACACUGGAGGCCCUGACAGUCGCCCACCUGCCUGGAAUACGAGUCGGAGGCGAGGAAGUUGCUUUGAGGCCAGAUUAUGCAGGAACUUGUAGACUGUAAGGAUUUUAGUCUUUAUUCUAAAGUUUUAAGCAAAGGGUGACAUAAUCAGAUUUGCAUUUGAAAAGUCACUUUGGCUGGUGUGCAGAGAACAAGUACGGAGGUGGGUGUGAAAAGGAUGUGAGAACAGUUAGGAAACUGAUAGAGUCUUCCAGGGAUGACUCGAUGCUGGCUCGCCCCAGAGGGGCCUUACUGGAGAAGAAAGAUGUGCAGGUUUGAGAGAGAUUUUCAGUGUAAAACGGAAAAGAAACAUUGGUCUUCAGAGUCAUUGCAUGCCAGUGAGUUUCCUCAGCGCACUUUGUGGGAGGGCCAACACCCAGUCUCAGAUUUCCUAAUGAGACUCAGUGAAGAUAUCCUGUGGUGGCCACAUUCCUCUUGCUUAUCAUGAUGCGUAGAUGCCUCUAAGAGCAAUUGACCCACACCCUGCAGCUUUCAGACUAAUGCAGAUGCCUUUUGAUGUCCCCUGAGUUUCCGAUCUUGUUGAUUCAAGUCUCUCUGCUCCUGACUGAACUAACUCAUAGACAUCUUUGAAAUUUAAAACAUCCAAUAUUCCAGGGUGCCUGUGUGUCUGAAAAUGUUCUGAGUCAUAGCACAGUUUAUAGCUAUCCACUCCCUAAAGCCUCACACCAACACGGUCUGGAGGCCUGCACGGUCAGUAAAGACAGCCGACCCAACAUAGCAUGCCAUAUGGAUAUUUUUUCUUAAACAAAUGCUGUGUCCUGCAGUUAAAAAUUCACGUUUACAUCAAAAUGAUGUUGGUGUGAUUGUAGGCUUUGUAAGGCUCCCAUUCUGCCUCUAUUUCCCCUUUUCCUUCCCCACCUCCUACAGCACUGGUGGUCCCCACAGUCACCUUUCAGGCCAUUCUCUCAUUCCAAACUAGAGACUCCAGAUGCCUGAUGCUGCCCCUGAGCCUUCUGCCUUCACGUCCAGCCGCUCAUAUAUUCACUCAGUUCACAAAUAUCUUUGAGAGUCUGUCCUAUCACAGCCCCUGUUAAACAACUCCGUGAGGUGGUCCUCCAACAACUCCAAUCCGUGUAUCUGAAAUUAAGUGAAUCGUCAGACCUCCCGCCUCCUCCCUGCUUUGUAUUCCAGAUUCCAGCAAAGGCUUCGCUUUCCUCAGUGCAGCCCCAACUCCCCCUGCCCUUCCAACCAGCCACCAGUCCUACAGCUCUUCUUCCUAGACCCCUUCCAAAUUCAUCCCUUUUCCCACCUCCCUGCACCUCAGGGCCUCCGUUCACACCCUUGUCACCUCUGGUACCAAAAGCUCACACUGGGCUUCCUUCCGCCAACUGGGGCCUCUGUGUCAGUCAACGUUUCCACUCCCAGCCCGUGAUAAAGACUUCCUAAUCGUGUCCCUCCUGUACCUGGAAGUCUCAAAGGCCAUGUUUCCUCAUUGCUUUUAGGACAAAACACUAGCGUCUCAGACCCUUCAGGAAUGUGCUCUUUCCCCGAGCUACGUCCUGACACCCCCUCCCUGCAGACUCUGGUCACAAGUGACUUCUUGUCUGCCGUUUAUAACACGCUCACGUCUGUGCCUGCACUCUUUCUUCCUCCCUCUCCUGUCUCUCGUCACUUUCAAGAUUCAGUCUUAAGGUCACUUCUCUGCUCAGGACAUGCAGGCUCAGGCCCACAUGGGCCUGGUCACUCGGCUCUGUCUAUCUCUUUGUCGGGCUCUCUGAUCGCAGCUUACUCUGACCACAGGCUCCCGCCUCCUCCUUCCACUCAACCCAACCUCGUGAAGCACGGAUCCUUUGUCCCCGGGAUCCAGCACAGCAGGUGAAAUGUGCUGGGUGACCACACGCCUCUGUGAACCAGGGCUGACAGCUACGAUAAUACUCGGAAAUGGAGAAGUGCUUCCAGUGUGCCGGGCAUUGCUACAAGUUUGGGAGAAAUGCACACACAUGAAGGAAACCGCGUUAAAUCUUGGGUGAGAGAAUGAGCAGGUAAGUGUAGAAGCCUCGCCGUGGGACUCCUGGGGCAGGAGCACUUCCGAGCAUUUAAACCAAAAAGAAAAGAACAACAGCGAGCCAGCCCAGUGGCCUCGUGGUUAAAGUUCGGCGCGCUCCACUUCGCCAGCCCAGGUUCAGCUCCUGGUUGCAAAACCCCAGCACCAGUCCGUCAGCAGCUGGGCUGCAGUGGCCGCUCACACAGGACUAGAGGGACUUACUAGAAUAUACAGCUGUGCUUGGGGCCUUGGGGAGGAAAAAAAGAGGAAGAUUGGCAACAGAUAUUAGCUCAGGGAAUCUUUCCCAGAAAAAAAAUAAAAUAAAAAAAUAUACUAAAAAAAAUCCAACAAUAAAAAAUACAUUUUAUGUCACAAAUGCUCCACAAUCCAAUCAUGUAUAAUAAUGAAAAUGAAAACUUUACAAAAAUAAUACCCUUACUACGUAUGAUGCCCUUUGAUAUUUUUUCUGUAGCCAUUUCAUCUUUUAAUUGUUGAUUAUAAACCACUAAAUUUAUUUUAUAACUCAUUUUGGAAGAUACUGCUUUAGUAUUUUUACCGUAUUUGAUUUAUACAGGUUUUCUUUCACAAAACUUCUGUAAAUGAUUAAGGCUGUAUGUGAAAAGUAAAGAAGCAAUUUCUCUAAUUUUUAGGGCUACUCAAAACUCAUCGAUUUUCUAAAUAUGUGAUUCUUCCAACAGGUAGCUUGCUACGAGAUGUUUUUUUACAUACUUCACACACAUCGAAACCUUCAGAACCAGGCUGAGUGGCCUGAGCAGGGUUUGCAAUCACAGAUUGUCGGUUCCCGUCUUCAGUCUGUGUCGAGUCCACACGUGGAAUCCGUGUUUCCUUCCGUGAAAGCCGGAGCUCUGAUGCCCUCCAUUCUGUCAGGUGUGCUUCCUUUCUCUGUUUGUUUUCUAAUAGAAUACAAUUAUGGGAUUGUUUCCUUGAAACGGAGGUAGUGACGUGAAUUAAUUCAACAUAUACAUGAAAAAUCAUUCUAGAAUAUUAUUUCUUUUUUUCCUAUUUCUAGACACCUCUACUACUGUGAAUAAAUCACAUACAGUUCUAUUACCAUGAGGUUUGGCAAGGAAAUUUGUUUCUACUUUCAUCUUAAGAAGCACGUAUCUGCCAACUUUUAUGUUGCCUCGUGAAAAGUAAUAAAUAUUACACUUCAUAUGUCAGCAUUUCAGUGCCUGGCAAAGGAGAGAGCAUCCAUUGUUUUUCUAAAUGAAAGAGCAAAAAAUUCAGAAAGAUAAAGAGGUUUUGCCAGUGUUUCAUUAUGGAAACAUUUUUCUCUUUAAAAAAAUCUGUUACAAGAACUAUACCAGAAAUGGGGAUAUUUAUCAUGAUAUAUAUGUCUUCGUGACUUAAGUUGUGAAUAUUUUAAAUUGAGACCUUAAAAAGCACACUUAUAUAAAUGCGUUUUGCUUUUUAAAUAAUUUAUAUUUCAAAACAAAAUUUAAGCUGUGUUGAGAAAUUUGUCAAAGUUAAAUUUCUAUCCUACCCUCCUGCUAAGUGCGGUGGAAGAGCUGCCUUGAAUCCCAAAUGUGAAUGCACAGCUUUGACAGUGGACGGAGAAUCUGUUUCUCAGACGUGAUGUGGGGUCUUCUUGGUAGCUCUUCUCGGGUGGUCACACACUGCAGGCUCAGGAGCCGGUACGGACUAGGGAGGCUUUGCGACAUCACAUUCAUGGAGAUAUUUUCCUCAAUGUGUCUCAUGAAUUGGAGGAUUCUUUACAGUAGAAAAUGUCAAAACUAUUAAUUGGAAGUUUUCCAUUUGUUUGGGGUGCACAGAAAAAAUAGGUGAGGUGUUUUUUUUUUUUGCCUAGCAGGGCAGCCCUGCACACGGUGUGGGAGAGCGAGCAGGUGAGCGGGGCGUCCACCUGCAGAGGCGGCUGUCCAGGGCAGGGAUCAGUGCUCCUGAGCGGGGAGGGCCCUCCGGAUUGGGGGUGACAGGAUGUGUUGCAGCCACAGUGGGACGAGCAUGUGACUGCUCAGAGGACAGUGGUGACGGCAGCCUGGCAGCAGUGUCAGAGCCGAGCAGAGACAGGAGGGCACCAGGGCAGCGGGACGCAGAGUGGCGAUAGAGACUGAUGGCUGAUCAGGUACUGGGUCUGAUCUAGUAAGAAAAUACCCUGAGGACGACGGGACCCAGGUUUCUCCUGGGCACAGAAGGGUGGUACAAGCAUGGAAAGGGCAGAACUAGGAUGAAUCCUGUGGUAAUGCAUCAAAUUGAAGAUGCCAGUAUGAAUUCACACAUUUUUCAAAGAAUUCACAUGACAUAGAAACAGAUGUAGGGGUAAAUGUGUGUGAAGAAAGAAUAGAAAUUCUUUUCUUCAGAGAAUAGAACUGAAGGAUGUCUGUGUGUGUGUGUGAUUUAUUACCAGGAAUUGGCUCAUGUGCUUAUGGAGGCUGACAAGUCUCAAGUCUGCAGUUGGCAAGCUGGAGACCCAGGAGAGCUGACGGUGCAGGUUCCGUCUGAAGAUAAGCAGCCUCAAGACCCAGGAAGAGCGAAUGUUUAGGUUUGAGUCCACAGGAAGGAAAAAUGUGACACCCCAGUUCAAAGCAGUCAGGCAGGAGAAGUUUCCCCUUACUUGUGGGAAGAUCAGUCUUGUUGUUCUUGUCAAACCUUCAACUGAUUGAACGUAGCCCACCCACAUUGGGGAGGGCAGUCUGCUUUACUCAGUCUACUGUUUCAAAGGUUAAUCUCAUCCGGAAGCACCCAACACCCUGAUAGACACACCCAGAAUGAUGUUUGACCAAAUGUCCUGGCACCCUGUGACCCAGUCAAGUUGACAUGUAAAAUUAACGAUCACAAUGUGUGUGCUUUGGUGUCUGUGUUUAAAAUACCUACGACCCAGACCUUGGUUACUAAAUACUAUUCUGCCUUAAAAGGGCUCCUUGGAGACAUGGGUGAAUCCAAGGCUGGUCAGGGAAAGUAUAAGACGAUCCUAGAACAUCUUGUGAUGCCAUAAAAUUGUGCUCAAAGAAUGAUGGGGACACAUCAAAGGACACAGGGGCCAGCUUGAAAAGGCUCCCACUGGCCAAAGCCAGAACAAUUUGAGCAUCAAAAUAAGUAAUAAUAACAAAACAUUAUAACAUCAAUAAGACAAGAAUCCGUAAGCCCAAUCUCAUAUCAAUUACUGAAUUAAUUGAAAGUUUGAUGAGCCCACCUCUCGUAUUUACAUAAUCUCCAAGUACACACACGCUGAGUGUGCGUUAAUCACAGCUUCCCAGUGGAGAAUCCUGGCAGACGCUGCUUUAAAAAAUGGUCGACAUUAACUUAACAGUAAGAGGACAAGUCAAAUCCUGCACUGACAGACAGGGUGCAACGAGACACACACAGUAUCAUUUCUGUGGUAUUUCUGCAAGAAAUAAGGUGUACAUUCUGAAGCUGAUCAUGAGGAUACCCAAGGAAAACCCAAAUUGAGGGACAUUCUGCACAAUAGCUGACCCUUAUCUUCCCAGUGCCAAGGUCGUGAGGUCAAGGAAAGACCAACGCUCUGUUCCAAACUGAAGGGCAAUAAAGAGAUGUGGCAGCUAACAGUGCGUGAUUCUGAUGGAAUCUUUCUGGUGUAGCAGACAUUAUUUCAAUGACUGAUAAGGUGUAAACGGGGUCUGAGGUCAUCUGGGAUGGUACAGUUAUAUUCAUUUCCUGAUGCUGACUGGUUGGUAGCAACGUCAGUUUAUGUCUUCAUGUAUAAAAACACUCAUUGAGUACUUGGAGAGAUGGAGCAUCAUGUCAUCAACUUACUCUCAGGUUCAGGGGAAAAAGUGCUCUGCUCUGUUCUGACAACUUGUCUCCAUGUUUUAAAUUGUUUCAAAAUUUUAAAAAAUCCAUAAAAGGGGCCGGCCUGGUGGCUCAGCAGUUAAGUUCAAAAGUUCCACUUCGGUGGCCUGGAGUUCGCUGUUUCAGAUCCUGGGUGAGGACAUGGCACCGCUUGUCAAGCCGUGCUGAGGCAGGCGUCCCACAUAUAAAGUAGAGGAAGAUGGGCAUGGAUGUUAGCUCAGGGCCAGUCUUCCUCAAAAAGAAAACAAAAAAAAAAGUAUGUUAUGCAACAUUUCAUUGCAUUGGUAGUCUGAAGUAUCACUUGUCUUCUUGAGAAUACAGCUCUUUGGCUCUAUUCCGUUAACGAUUAUGCCCAUUUACUUUGGUGUGAAAAGGCAGCAAUUACUAAACCCCUCAUCUUUAUAAAUUACUAGUUAUGAUUUAAAUCUUAAAUUCUCAAGUUUGGAUUUUCGUUAUGCAAAAACCUUAUCAAGUAGUGAUUCUUGACUACAUCAUCAUAAGGAGAACAUUUCCCCUUUGGAUGUGUCUCUCUUUUUUUCAGAAACUUUCCCAGUUUGGUUAACCCUCCGGGCCCCUUCCGUGAAGCUGCCUUAACAAAUGCUGUCACCUCUCUUUCAGUGUUAAACUCGAAGGACACUGCCAGUCCUUUCUCGAUGUCUGUCUCCCGGAAACUCACAAGUCACUCGACCCUGUGACAAGGUCCCCCGCUCUCCUCCUGCCUCCCCAGGAAUUACUUGGUGGCCUGUUUGCCCUGUGAUGGUCCCUGGGACGCUCCGAGUUCUGUUCUCACAUCUCAUCUGGCCCUUCCAUGCAGCCUCUCCCUGAGCGGGCUCUUCAAAGUCCUGACCAUCCCCUGUUUGCUGACGGCCUCCAGUCUCCACUGCAGCUGGAAGUCACCCCCAGCAGGGACCUGGAGAGCCCGCUGCCUGCUAAAGGCAUCCUCACUUCAAUCCCCUGAGUACCUGCGUCAGGAACUUCAAGAGUGAACUCAGCACCGUCUCCCGCUCUCCCGUAAGGCCCCCCACCAGGCGUGGUGCUCCUUCCCAUUCCUCCCCAGUGACUCACAUCACCAUCUACCUCGUGCCAGCCAGCCAACAAGAUCCUCUUUAACUUGGGUGUUAUUUAUCGAACGCAUCCAUUUCUUUCUCUCCUCUCCCACUGUCUUAGUUCAGACCACCACUGUCUCUUCUCUAGAUUCAGCCUCAGAGUUGGCGUCCUGGACAGAAGCUCUGCCCGUCUCCAACCUGUCUCCACGGUGAUGCCAGAGCACAUGUGCCGAAGCACGAAUCUGACCGCGAAAAUCCUCAGUGGAAAUGCGGUCUUGUCUUCCCAUUGCCUUUGGGCAAAAAUGCAAACUUAGCAAGAUGAUCCCCCCUAGUCUGGCCACCAUCGCCUCUCCAGCUUCAUCUGUCCUCGUUCUCUCUCGUCAGUACUGUGCUCCUUGCAGUCCUAUGACCAAGUCAGACCAUGUCCAACACCCAGACUGGAACAGACUCACGCCCCAUUCCUUCUCUUUCUUCACCGGGUAACUGUCGGGCGUUAGUAAGAGGCGGCCCAUCUUCUGAGGCGUCUCCUGCAGCCCCUUGGCGGCGUCUGCGAUUCCCUCAGAAUCCUGUGAGGGCCCCGCUUCCAUCAGAGCACUUCCCAGAUGGCGUUACUGUUCUCCGUCUCCACCCUCGCAAGCAUGAUGGAGCUGACAGCCCUUCACCACCAGCCUUGCAUCACUCUCGGAGCAAAACCCAAGUCCACUCCUGCGCCUGCAGCUUCGCCGUCUGACCCUCUCCAGACCCCGUCUCGUCCAGCACCUCCCUCUCCCGCCCCAGUGCUGCUGGCCUCCUCUCUGGUCCUCGGACAUGCCAACUUCACGUGGAGGCCUGUUUGCAACCUCUGGUCUUUGCCUGUCGCCCCCACCUUACCCUAAGAAUCACCUCGGCAGGAAGCCUUCCCUGGCACCCUGUCCAGGAAGCCCUCUGUCAUCGCCAUCACCGCACAUUCCAGUUCUCCACACAGCACUCGUUACUGCUGAGUACUUUUCUUAAUUACUAAUUUGUUUGUUUCUCAUCUGUGUGCCCCCAGCCAGAAGGCGAACUCCAGGAGAGCACAGACCUUGCCUGCCUUUCUCGUUACAUCCCUGAUGCCAAGAAAAAUGCGGCAAUAAAGAAUCAGUUGAAUGAAAGACUUCCCCUAAGACGACAGGCUUCUUGAGGACGGACUCUCUCAUAACAACCUGUUUAUGUGGCAUGAUCCUUGCAUAUCGAAGGCAGUGAUGUCCCUAAUUUGCUCCACAGAUACUUAUUUCCCUAUCCGAGGCUCGGUGCGACGGGUGCCGGCGAGGACAGCGCAGUCCAGUGACAAACACUCACAGCCGCCGGGAGAGACCCCACGUAUGCACGAGCCGUCCAGUUGCCCAAGCUGUCCGACCUUCCAGAAUCAUCCUUUAGUUUGAUCAGAUGACAUAAAAUAAACCCAAACCCCACACUAGGCGAAAUCUAGCAGCCCUGCUGAUACCGCUGAGAAUUCAUGAGGGGGAUGGGAGCAGUUAGUUUCUGGAGCCACGCGUCACCUCCUGCUCCCAGUGCUGGCCCCGAGCUCCAUUCUGAUGUCCUCAGCUGCCUCGAUUUCCAGGGCUGUUGUCCACUAUCCCCCCCCCCCCCCCAAAUUUACCUCCUCUGUUCCCCAGACACAAACCCGUUUAUGUAACUGACCUGUGGUGAAGACUUGGGGACUUAGGGGAAAUUAUAAUUCAGAACAGAAAGGCACCCUCGGUUAAAUGGCAGUUCUGAAUGCUCAGGACUUUCCCCAGCAAGCAAGCUCUCACGGGCCUCUCCCUCCGUCUGCAGCCUGCCCCGUGUUGCCAGCUCUGCCUCCACCUGCAGAGAGCUUCCCCCCAGAGAGUUCCCAUCGCUUUACUAUCCGGAAAACUUAGCUCCCCUUGGAUCACACUUUGUCUCCUAAAUAAGUCCACAAAACUCAUUCACAAGAGGGCCACUAAUCCGCUUUCCCAAACAAAAGAAUACCCCUGCCCUCCUCAAGCAGAGACUCUGGGAACAAAGCGGAGUUUCACCCUCUCAUUUCAGAUAAUCACCUUCUGUCAAUGAUUCCUACAAUUACACUUAGUUUAAGGUUGAACUUGCUGCUCACUUGGCUCAUUGAGACUGUUGAGACGGAAAUCUGUAAGUCUUUCAGAAGAGUUGCCUUUCGACGGCAUCUCUGCCACUUCACACUUUUUUUUUUUUUAAAGAUUUUAUUUUUUUCCUUUUUCUCCCCAAAGCCCCCUGGUACACAGUGGUAUAUUCUUCGUUGUGGGUCCUUCUAGUUGUGGCAUGUGGGACGCUGCCUCAGUGUGGUUUGAUGAGCAGUGCUAUGUCCACGCCCAGGAUUCAAACCAACGAAACACUGGGCCGCCUGCAGCAGAGCACGCGAACUUAACCACUCGGCCACGGGGCCAGCCCCUUCACACUUGUUUAUUGGGAAUUUUGACCAAGGUACAGACAUUUAUCCCUGUUAAGCUUCAUCUUAUUAUAUUUGGCCCAUCAUUUCAGCCUGUCAAGAUCUUUUAGGAUCUUGGUUCUGGCACGCCAUAUAUUCACAACUCCUGCCAACUUCACGUCAAAUGAAACUUGCUUAAGUACACUCUCUAUCCUCUCAUAAGCCACAAAAAAUGGCAAACGGGCAUGUGCUGUUUUGUUACAGGAUUCUAAGAGCUGAAAAGAAGAUAACAAUCACCACACGCGAUAUCUAAGAGCAGAGGCCUCUGGAGUAGGAGUGAAGGUCUCGUGUUCGGGCCUGUCUCCCUUGCUCUUGAGAACCCUGCUGCCACUUAUUUUGAGGUACGUUGGUUCUGGAGAGGGAAUGAGGCCUGGGAGGGUGGGAGCCCUAUCACGUGCUCAGGUGGCAGGGCCGGGUGUCCCUGAGGCAAGAGAAAGGCUAAGGACGGAAGGUGGAGGAGGCCCCGGUGCUGGGGGUCUGCAGGAGCAGGCGGCCUUGCACGCUGUGGGAGGGAGCCCCCUUACCUCCGCAGCCUCAGCUUCCCACUUGUCAUCCUGGUCAAGGCCCCAUAGGCGGGCGGAACGCAUCUUAUGGGAGGUGCCGCGCCACAGUCCACUCCGUCACUGAGCUUGCACUGUCACAUUCACCCUUCCUCACUGCUGGUGGAACCCACAGGAAGGCCCGGCCACCCUCAAGCCAGACCUGACUUUGUCCUCAGCUCAUUUCUCUACUGAUCCAAGACCGCAGUCACUGAUGGAGAGUUCCAGGCAUCAGAAAUAAUAACAAAUAGGCAUAGCCUCCUUUCUGUUGAGAAGCUAGACAAAAAGGCCAGUUCUGUUAUCCAGCACAGUUUGCAGCCGUCCUACCAGUCACUGUCUUAUUUCCAUAUUCUGCAUCCCCAUUUCCUUGGCCUGGUCACCAAGGCCAGCGCUCCCAAGAGAGCCAGCCUCAAAAACAGUUCUGGCUUAGCUGGGUGUGCCGGGAUCCUCUUGGCAGCCUCGCAUGGUGCAUGCGAUCACUGGACUCUGCAGAGCCACUCAGCCUCGCGUUCUGGGCCCUGUACUGCUGCCCUGAGUCCAUAUCCCUGUUCCUGGGACAGAUGCCUAAGUAUCACGUUCCGCAAGCCACAGCACUCCCGGUCGUCCUUCCUCACGCCAUCGCCCUCAAACCACUGCUGAGUCCCACAGACGCUGAUCCUGCGUUACCGCACUGUGUGCCCCGUCACCUACGCGGCUUCUACACAGUUGUUUACCUGGUUGAAUACACACAAGUCCUAACUCUGUUUCUUUUUAAAUAGUAGGCAUUUCACAGUUAUUUGAUGAAUGAACUAACGAGAGUGAGCAGUAGGCACCAGGUGUUCGACAGUCAGGGAGCCGUGACCAGAUUAACUGAGCUGCUCGUCUACCCUGCAGUGUGUGAGACGUGCGGCAGGUGCUUGGCAGCUGUAUCUCACCAACUAUGAGUGUCGCUUUACUUCAGCUCGCUGGUUGGUAAAAUCACAAUUGACAAGUUCAAUGCAUGGUGAACAAAGGGGAUUUAGAGAAAAAUAAAAAUGUAUCAGGCGUGUAUGCAUGCAUAAUGCACAUGUGCACAAAGACACACACACGUGCACACACACACAUACGUGUACACACAGACACAUACGUGAGCAGAUUUAAAUGUUAAAAGGCAGCCAGUCCCAGAACAAGCCCAAUUCUUUCCCAUUCUUGCUGGCCUCAGUAUCACCCUUUUCAUUGUUCAAAAACAAUGAUGAAUCUAAGAUAAUUAUUAUGUUAAGUUUACAUGAGGCACGUUGUAUCCCUCCAUGUUUUAACAUUUGAUCCAACUGGAUUAAAACGUAAUGGCAUUCUUAUGUUAUUUGCAUAUUCUCAUAUGAUGUUUUCACAAAUUCUAUUUGCUCUUUUGUAACGAUAUUUGAAGACACUAUUAGACAUUACAAUAGGCCCUGGGAAUACGGCCUUGAGAAUAUCCAUAAUGCCUACCCUCACAGAGUCUACAAACUAGAGGCACAGAUGGAAUUAAACCAUACUUAAGGAAACAUUUGUUUAAAGAGUAUUAUGUUUCAUCUCCAACCAAACACUCCCAUUAAAAUUUUAUGAACCCACUAUUUUGAAAAAGAAGAGGAGAUGGGUCAUAAGAAAGUAAGAAGUUUUAGCAAAUUUAUAGAAUACAUAAAGAGGUGGAGAAAUGGUAAUCGGUGAAUUAGGGCAGAGGAAAUCUCCAGCCUGGGACACAGAGACUUGCAGUCUGAGCUCUUCUGUAACACAGGAUCUGGGCGAGGCUCGUGACCACAAACGCUGCAUUCACUGAGGGCAGAGCCAGGCAGGAGGCUGCAGCCGGAGCAUAGCAGACCGCCUGUGUGUGGCACCGACCGCCCCUCACAUCCUCCGCCUCCAGUGCUGGAGGCAGGCUCCUCUCCACCAGGCAGGUGGCACUUUUCCAGAGAAGUGGAACGGUCCUGGAGAAAACGGCUUAUUUACAGUUUCCCCAGCAUCAGGAACUCAAUGGCAGGGAUCUUGACCACAAACCUCCGUCACUCGAAGAAGUACUUUGCCUGUCGAUUAGCACUGUCCACACAGGGAGAGUUACUGAUUGGCUUUUACCAGCUUAUUUGUGAAAAAUAAACAACCAAGAUGCACCAGAACCUGGAACAAAGCUCUCGAUAUGAAAGAGUGACCCAAAUAAACUAACAUAAAAGCCAACUUCAAAAAAUAAGAAGACAAGGAAAUGCUUCUAAGCGUCAUCCUCAGAGACUCAUGAAGAAAUCUCGUCCACAAAACAAGCCUAGGAUGCCACACAGGAACAACCAGAGAAUUCCAGCGAGCUCUUGCCUGUGGAGCAGAUUGCUGCCAAAAAUGCCAUAGGGGGCUGGAAGAUAAAGAUGAGGAAUUCUUCCAGAACAGUCAGCGAAAAAAAAGAGGCCAAAGAUGUGAGAGAGAACAGAGGCAUAGAGAAGCUGAGAGGUUCGAACAUCUGAUUAAUGAAUGAAACCUCUGGAGGUGAAGAGCAGAUAGAGUAGAUGAGAGAAAUCAUCAAAUAAACAGCUGAAAAAUCUCCGCAGUUAAAAGAUUCAAAGUCUCCGAAUUGGAAGAGGCCACUGAGUAACAGGACGAUGAAUAAAACAGCCACAUCUGGACUCCUGGACUCUGAAAGCUUGGAGCAUCGAAAGUGUAGACACGGUCUUCAAAGCUUUCGGAGAGGAGGCGGCAGGGCAUGCACAAAGGAGAGAAAAUCAUUCCCUGUGACAUCAAUGAAACGAAGGCUUCACCCUGGGGUCAGACCUGUCGCACCUCCCUCUCCGUGGCUCUGGCGCCUCCUUGUAUACAGGAACGCAAAGCUGAGACUGAAACAUGAAGAAUUCUGUUCAGGGCAAGACGAUGGAAACCAGGGCGGCUGACAGCAACAGCUGCAUCUGGAUCCACAGAGCCCCUCCCUGGAGCAUGACUGCUGCGCAGAGACGGGGACCCCACACAGCACCGUGGAGUCAUUUUUCCUUCUCCUGGAAAGGAAAUGAAACAAAACUCAGUUUCUUAUGACCUUUCCCAGAAAACAGAGAAUACGCAAUGUCAUCAAAUUCUCUCUUAAGUCUUUUUUUUUUUUGUUUGCUUAUCUUUGAAAUUACAUUUGCUUGCAAUUUAGGUUUCUAUAAAAUAACAGAGACAGACAAG